GUGCACCAGGCGAGAAACUUUACAAUGUGCGAAAGCACGAUAAGGGAACUCUGAGUGCCUCCUAAGGAGGCUGUUCUGAUGUCUAAAAGCAACAGAAGUAAGGGCUGGGUAAGACCGGUGCCAGCCGCCGCGGUAACACCGGCAGCCCAAGUGGUAGCCACGUUUAUUGGGUCUAAAGCGUUCGUAGCCGGCCAGGUAAGUUCCUUGGUAAAUUUAGCCGCUUAACGGUUAAGCUUUCGGGGAAUACUGCUUGGCUUGGGACUGGGAGAGGUCAGAGGUACUCCGGGGGUAGGGGUGAAAUCUAUUAAUCCCUGGGGGACCACCGGUAGCGAAGGCGUCUGACCAGACCAGGUCCGACGGUGAGGGACGAAGGCUGGGGGCGCGAACCGGAUUAGAUACCCGUGUAGU
rnacentral:rRNA from 1 species